CGGGACCACAAAUAGACGAAACCCCCCAUUCUUGUUUUCUCUGCACCGACGCCUCGUCUGCUCUGCUCCCCGAAGCUGCUCAAGUGGGGAACCGGAGAGAAGGGAGAUGGCGGAGGCGGUGGCGUACGAGGAGCAGCGGCGGAGGCAGAUAGAGGCGAACAAGCGGAAGCUGGAGGAGCUGCAGCUCCACCACCUCUCUGCCGCCGUCAGAGAGGCCGCCGCCGCUGCCAAACCCUCGUCGGCCAAGAAGCGGAAGGCUCAGGUGCCGCGGGACGCCGCCGCGGAGCCGCUACGGCGUUCUGGCCGAGUCGCCAACCUCCCCGAGAAGCCCAUCUACCGCGAGGUCAAGGUGAACUCGCCAUUUCUGCAGGUCAGCAAGUCCAAUGCGUCGGUGCUGUGGGACGCUGCCACCUCCGUGGUGGCGGAGCCGCUACGGUGGUCCGGCCGACUCGCCAACCUCCCCGAGAAGCCCAUGUACCGCGAGGAUUCGGACGAGGAAAGGAGCUACGCCAUCUCUAAGGCUGAUGAGCUGGUGCAAGAGCUGGGCUCCAGCUUCCCCAUCUUCACCCAGCCCAUUACACUGUCCCAUGUCACCGGAGGCUUCUGGCUGGACCUCCCAAAGUAUUUCUGCCAGAAGCACCUGCCGAAGAGUGAUGAGACGAUAACCCUGGUGGAUGAGGAGGAUGACGAGUCAGACACACUGUACCUCGUAAGGAAGACUGGCCUCAGCACUGGAUGGAAAGAGUUCGCCAUCGAGCGCAAGCUGCUUGAUGGAGAUUGCUUGGUCUUCCAACUGAUUGAGCGGACAAAGUUCAAGUGGUGCAGGUCUACAUAAUUCGAGCAACUUCGUACUUUGAAAGUGAGUACUGAAACUAGUAGCUUCUAAUAUGGUGAUUGGAGCACAGUUAUGGAGUCGGGAGCGUUGGACAAGUUCGCAUAUGGAAAUUGCUGGGUGUCUUGAACCAUUUGGGUGGCAGAAAGUUAGCUGAUGUAUAAAUGUUUACCGAAUCUAAUAUCUACCAGCCUAAUUAGUGUACUUCUUGGCUUACCAAUUGCACGGUUCAGAAACCUGCACUCUGUAAGGAGAUGCUGAUGGCAAUUGACCUGAUUUUGUAAAUCAUUGAUGCUUGUCCUUGUUUCUCUUGGAUCCUGUGUUCGA